rnacentral:rRNA from 2 species
GAGCUUGCUCUUCCUGAUCAGCGGCGAACGGGUGAGUAACACGUGAGUAACCUGCCCUUGACUCUGGGAUAACUCCGGGAAACCGGGGCUAAUACUGGAUACGAAGCGCCUCGGCAUCGGGUGCGCUUGGAAAGUUUUUCGGUCAAGGAUGGACUCGCGGCCUAUCAGCUUGUUGGCGGGGUAACGGCCCACCAAGGCGUCGACGGGUAGCCGGCCUGAGAGGGCGACCGGCCACACUGGGACUGAGACACGGCCCAGACUCCUACGGGAGGCAGCAGUGGGGAAUAUUGCACAAUGGGCGAAAGCCUGAUGCAGCGACGCCGCGUGAGGGAUGAAGGCCUUCGGGUUGUAAACCUCUUUCAGUAGGGAAGAAGCGAAAGUGACGGUACCUGCAGAAGAAGCGCCGGCUAACUACGUGCCAGCAGCCGCGGUAAUACGUAGGGCGCAAGCGUUGUCCGGAAUUAUUGGGCGUAAAGAGCUCGUAGGCGGUUUGUCGCGUCUGGUGUGAAAACUCAAGGCUCAACCUUGAGCUUGCAUCGGGUACGGGCAGACUAGAGUGCGGUAGGGGUGACUGGAAUUCCUGGUGUAGCGGUGGAAUGCGCAGAUAUCAGGAGGAACACCGAUGGCGAAGGCAGGUCACUGGGCCGCAACUGACGCUGAGGAGCGAAAGCAUGGGGAGCGAACAGGAUUAGAUACCCUGGUAGUCCAUGCCGUAAACGUUGGGCACUAGGUGUGGGGCUCAUUCCACGAGUUCCGUGCCGCAGCAAACGCAUUAAGUGCCCCGCCUGGGGAGUACGGCCGCAAGGCUAAAACUCAAAGGAAUUGACGGGGGCCCGCACAAGCGGCGGAGCAUGCGGAUUAAUUCGAUGCAACGCGAAGAACCUUACCAAGGCUUGACAUACACCGGG